AGAUAUCAGGAGGAACACCGAUGGCGAAGGCAGGUCUCUGGGCAUUAACUGACGCUGAGGAGCGAAAGCAUGGGGAGCGAACAGGAUUAGAUACCCUGGUAGUCCAUGCCGUAAACGUUGGGCACUAGGUGUGGGGGACAUUCCACGUUUUCCGCGCCGUAGCUAACGCAUUAAGUGCCCCGCCUGGGGAGUACGGCCGCAAGGCUAAAACUCAAAGGAAUUGACGGGGGCCCGCACAAGCGGCGGAGCAUGCGGAUUAAUUCGAUGCAACGCGAAGAACCUUACCAAGGCUUGACAUGAACCGGAAAUACCUGGAAACAGGUGCCCCGCUUGCGGUCGGUUUACAGGUGGUGCAUGGUUGUCGUCAGCUCGUGUCGUGAGAUGUUGGGUUAAGUCCCGCAACGAGCGCAACCCUCGUUCUAUGUUGCCAGCGCGUUAUGGCGGGGACUCAUAGGAGACUGCCGGGGUCAACUCGGAGGAAGGUGGGGACGACGUCAAAUCAUCAUGCCCCUUAUGUCUUGGGCUUCACGCAUGCUACAAUGGCCGGUACAAAGGGUUGCGAUACUGUGAGGUGGAGCUAAUCCCAAAAAGCCGGUCUCAGUUCGGAUUGGGGUCUGCAACUCGACCCCAUGAAGUCGGAGUCGCUAGUAAUCGCAGAUCAGCAACGCUGCGGUGAAUACGUUCCCGGGCCUUGUACACACCGCCCGUCAAGUCACGAAAGUUGGUAACACCCGAAGCCGGUGGCCUAACCCCUUGUGGGAGGGAGCUGUCGAAGGUGGGACUGGCGAUUGGGACUAAGU
rnacentral:rRNA from 1 species